AAACUGAGGGAUAAGCACCGGAAACGGUGUCUAAUACCGCAUAUGGUCUUCGGAUUAAAGCUUCGGCGGUUUGGGAAGAGCCCGCGUAAGAUUAGCUAGUUGGUGAGGUAAUGGCUCACCAAGGCGACGAUCUUUAACUGGUUUGAGAGGAUGAUCAGUCACACUGGAACUGAGACACGGUCCAGACUCCUACGGGAGGCAGCAGUAAGGAAUUUCCACAAUGGGCGAAAGCCUGAUGGAGCAACGCCGCGUGCAGGAUGAAGGCCCUAGGGUUGUAAACUGCUUUUAUAUGUGACGAAUAUGACGGUAGCAUAUGAAUAAGGAUCGGCUAACUCCGUG
rnacentral:rRNA from 1 species